UACGUAGGGUGCAAGCGUUGUCCGGACUUAUUGGGCGUAAAGAGCUCGUAGGCGGUCUGUCGCGUCGGAUGUGAAACUCCAGGGCCCAACCCUGGACCUGCAUUCGAUACGGGCAGACUAGAGUUCGGUAGGGGAGACUGGAAUUCCUGGUGUAGCGGUGAAAUGCGCAGAUAUCAGGAGGAACACCGGUGGCGAAGGCGGGGCUCUGGGCCGAAACUGACGCUGAGGAGCGAAAGCGUGGGGAGCAAACAGG
rnacentral:rRNA from 1 species